CUCAGCAGUGAGCAGCUCAGCAGUGAGUGUGAGACUAAGUUAAAGAGACACAGACAGAAGAGGCAACAGAUCUUCAGGAAUGUGUUUGUCUGCUGCAGUUCAGCGAUGAACAAUUGUGAACUGUUUCUUCAUGGAAGUUUCCUGGAAGAAAGGGCAAAAAGAAGCCUGAGGAACAAUACGCUCUGCCUGUCAGCACUGAAGAACAGCUCAGGAGAAAGUAGCAUCCUCCAGAGGUUAGUGGUGCUUAGAAUCAGCAGGUUCCAUCCUGCCUGAAGAAAAACAAAUUGAUUGUU
rnacentral:lncRNA from 1 species